rnacentral:rRNA from 1 species
AUGUUUUGCUCUAGGGAGAGCGAGGCCAUGAAGCUGCUCGACGAAGAGCAGAUGCGCUGGACGGCGAAAGAGCUGCUGGAGCAGUACCUCAAGUUCAGGCGGGAGGCCGAGGAGGGAGACGGCAACAGCAAGAAGGCAAAGAACAAGAGGAAGAAGGUGAAGGAUCCCUCCAAGCCGAAGCAGCCCAUGUCGGCCUACUUCCUCUACUCGCAGGAGAGGCGUGCCGCGCUGGCCGCCGAGAAGAAGAGUGUGCCUGAGAUUGGUAAGAUCACAGGGGAAGAGUGGAAGGGCAUGACGGAGGCUCAGAAGGCUCCUUACGAGGAGGCUGCGAGGAAGCAGAAGGAGGGAUACCAGAAGCAGAUGGAGGUGUACAAGCAGAAGAAGCUUGAGGAAAACGCGAGCUUAGAGAAGGAAGAAGAGGAGCAGAAGAAAAUCCUCAAGCAGGAGGCUCUGCAGCUUCUUAGGAAGAAGGAGAAGGCAGACAACAUCAUCAAGAAAACCAAAGAGAAGCGUCAGAGGAAGAAGCAGCAGCAGAACGCCGACCCGAACAGGCCCAAGAGGCCCGCGUCUUCCUUCCUGCUCUUCAGCAAGGAGGCUAGGAAGCAGCUGGCGGAGGAGCGCCCCGGGGUGAACAACACGACGCUGAGCGCGCUCAUCUCGGUGAAGUGGAAGGAUCUGAGCGGCGCGGAGAAGAAGGUGUGGAGCGAGAAAGCGGCCCAGGGGAUGGCGGCGUACAAGAGGGAAAUGGACGAGUACACCAAAGCUCACACCUCCGCCUCCUCAUCACCUGUUGCUUAG